UAUUGCAAUUAUUUUUUUUUUUUUUUUGCCAAGAAUUAACACUUGGUUCCAUAACUCAGAACUUAGUUAGAUUGUUCAGAACUUAGGUUCCAUAACUCAGAACUUGGUUCCAAAGCCCAGAACUUAGCUUUAGUUCUCAGAACUUGGUUUAAGUGCUUGGAACUUAGUUAACUGUUUCAGAACCUAGUUUUGUUGUUUAGAACUUAGGUUCCACAACUCAGAACUUGGUUCCAAAGCUCAGAUCUUAGUUAAAUGGCUUAAAACUUGGUUCCAUAGUUCAGAACUUGGUUCCAUAACUCAGAACUUAGUUAGAUUGUUUAGAUUUUGGGUUCCAUAACUCAAAACUUGGUUCCAAAGUUAAAAAUUAUUUUCAUCAUUUAGAACUUGGUUCCGAAGCUCAGAUCUUACUUUAAGAGAUUGAACUUGGUUCCAAGGCUCAGAUCUUAGUUUAAUGGCUUAAAACUUGGUUCCAAAGCUUAUAUCUUAGUUAAAUAGCUUAAAUUUGUUUCCAAAGCUCAGAUAUUAGUUCCAUAACUCAGAACUUAGCUUUAGUUCUCAGAACUUUGUUCAAAUGCUUGGAACUUGGUUUACUCAUCCAGAACCUAGUUUUGUUGUUUAAUACUGUGGUUCCAUAGUUCAGAACUUGGUUCCAUAACUCAGAACUUGGUGAUAAAAAAUUGGUUAUUUAAACCAAGUUCUGAGAACUAAAGCUAAGUUCUGGGCUUUGAAACUAAGAUAUGAGCUUUAGAAUCAAGUUUUAAGCCAUUAAACUAAAAUCUGAGCCUUGGAACCAAGUUCUAAACUAUGAAACUAAGAUCUGAGCUUCAGAACCAAGUUCUAAAUAAUGAAAAUAAUUUUUGAACUAUGGAACCAAGUUCUGAGUUAUGGAACCUAAGUUUUAAACAACAAAACUAGGUUCUAAAACAGUAAACCAAGUUCCAAGCACUUAAACCAAGUUCUGUGAACUAAAGCUAAGUUCUGGGCUCUGGAACCAAGUUUUGAGUUAUGGAACCGAAGUUCUGAAAAACAUGACUAAGUUUUGAGUUAUUGAACUCAAGUUCUGAAUUAAAUUCUGAUCUCUUGAAUUAAGUUCUGAGAACUUAAACCCAGAUCUGAGUGUUCCAACUAAGUUCUGAA